GACGAACGCUGGCGGCGUGCUUAACACAUGCAAGUCGAGCGGUAAGGCUCCUUCGGGAGUACACGAGCGGCGAACGGGUGAGUAACACGUGAGCAAUCUGCCCUUCACAUCGGGAGUAACUCCGGGAAACCGGUAGCUAAUACCGAAUACGACCACUUCAGGCAUCUGAUGGUGGUGGAAAGUUCCGGCGGUGAAGGAUGAGCCCGCGGCCUAUCAGCUUGUUGGUGGG
rnacentral:rRNA from 1 species